rnacentral:lncRNA from 1 species
GCGAGUGGGCGUCUCGACGUGGGAUAGAUGGUGAAGCUUCUCUCUAGGUAUAUCGUCCCUUUUGUCGUGCCGUGUUGUCUAUGAUAUGAUGUUCUGUUAUUUCCAUCCACGGAAAAAAUUAAUGUGGUGCUUGUGAAACACCCAUCGCUGUUGGUUCUAGGAUCAGUAUUGGCCUUCGUUUAUUUAGCUCUUGGUUGCUGGCGAAUGUAAUUGGAUACUUGACUAUCUUAUUUAGUAUGCCCGCUAUGGAUGUUGUUUCGUGUCUCGCUUGCAUUUUACAUGUACACGUACACUAUGCCUAUCGAUGAUAUGGCCUAUGUUGUGAUCUAUGUGUGCUCUAUAUCUGGGUUAUAGAGGUUGUCCAGUGCGGACUAAUCAUGCUGUUUGAAAUGGUGGUGAAGCAUUAGUGGGUCUUUUAAACUGUAUAGUUUUUCUUGAUGCACAGGGCUGCUUACAUAAUAAAUGUGUUUCAUUUGUUUCCUUGGCAAUUGUGCCUGGGACAUGAGGUGUCUUUUGAUAUGCUACUUAUGGCUUUGGUAGCAUGGUAUAUGCACAUGUUCCUCUUGUGAUGCAUACCCUGUGUAAAUGAUUUUCCUUUCUACAUAUUUUAACAGAUGAAGCGUUCUGUCAUGGUUAGGCUAAAGGCCAUGCUUAGCGCAGUUCUUGCUGAAGCUGGUUUUCCUGAGGUGAAGUACAAGACCUACACAACCUAUCGUGGCAGUGUGGUGGCUGCUGCUUACUUCUGGCCAUCACUCACAUUCGUUUGCAGCGGCAGAACAUAUAUGAGGAUUAAUGGUGACCCAGCUGUGGAUGCAGGCGAGGCCAUGCAAAUGCUGCUACUCGGUGCUUGGAGCGUCUUCAAGCCACUAUGGAUGUUGAGUUCGAUUGCCCUCAGAUGCAGAAGAUUAAGACCGAGAUAAAAAUUGUCGAGCAGUUUAGACGAGAAGGACAAGAAGAUCAGGAAUCUGAAGACUAAGGUGGAAAGAAGGAAUCUCAAGGUCAGGGGGCUUAGCAGGGGCUGGGGUCAUUGGCAGAAAAAUAUACCCGAAAUAUAUGCUUUUAUUAUUCCUCCAUGUUCAUGCCUUUAUUACUUCCUGCCUUGUAUUCACGCUUGUGAUGUCGAACUUCAUGUCAAGUAGCUGCUAUUUUAGUGUCAAACUUCAUGACAAGCCAUAAUCUUUUGUGGUAUUAUAAACGAUCUGAAAUCAAUUCUGCUUUCUAAUCUCUUACCAUCUUUGGG